rfam:Oryza sativa Japonica Group DNA, chromosome 6, cultivar: Nipponbare, complete sequence.
AAUAAAUUCAUUUGUGGGUUUUUAUGUCUAACGUUUGACCGUCCGUCUUAUUUAAAUUUUUUUUAUGAUUAGUAUUUUUAUUGUUAUUAGAUGAUAAAACAUGAAUAAUAUUUUAUACGUGUCUUAUUUUUUAAUAUAUAUAUAUAUAUAUUUCAAAUAAAACAGUCAAACAUUGAAUAAAAAACCCAUAAAUGAACUUAUU